rnacentral:rRNA from 1 species
UACGGGGGGAGCAAGCGUUGUUCGGAUUUACUGGGCGUAAAGGGCGCGUAGGCGGCGCAACAAGUCAGCUGUGAAAUCUCCGGGCUUAACCCGGAGCGGCCAGCUGAUACUGUCGUGCUAGAGUGCGGAAGGGGCUACUGGAAUUCUCGGUGUAGCGGUGAAAUGCGUAGAUAUCGAGAGGAACACCUGUGGCGAAGGCGGGUAGCUGGGCCGACACUGACGCUGAGGCGCGAAAGCUAGGGGAGCGAACGGGAUUAGAAACCCCUGUAGU